CAGUAGCCGCGGGAAUACGAAGGGUGCAAGCGUUACUCGGAAUUACUGGGCGUAAAGCGUGCGUAGGUGGUGGUUUAAGUCCGUUGUGAAAGCCCUGGGCUCAACCUGGGAAUUGCAGUGGAUACUGGAUCACUAGAGUGUGGUAGAGGAUAGUGGAAUUUCCGGUGUAGCAGUGAAAUGCGUAGAGAUCGGAAGGAACAUCUGUGGCGAAGGCGACUAUCUGGGCCAACACUGACACUGAGGCACGAAAGCGUGGGGAGCAAACAGGAUUAGAUACCCCAGUAGUCCCUGUCUCUUAUAU
rnacentral:rRNA from 1 species